CUCUGUGACUCCUACGGGAGGCAGCAGUGGGGAAUAUUGCACAAUGGGCGCAAGCCUGAUGCAGCCAUGCCGCGUGUAUGAAGAAGGCCUUCGGGUUGUAAAGUACUUUCAGCAGUGAGGAAGGCAGGUACGUUAAUAGCGUGCUGUUUGACGUUAGCUGCAGAAGAAGCACCGGCUAACUCCGUGCCAGCAGCCGCGGUAAUACGGAGGGUGCGAGCGUUAAUCGGAAUUACUGGGCGUAAAGCGCAUGCAGGUGGUUUGUUAAGUCAGAUGUGAAAGCCCGGGGCUCAACCUCGGAAUUGCAUUUGAAACUGGCAGACUAGAGUACUGUAGAGGGGGUAGAAUUUCAGGUGUAGCGGUGAAAUGCGUAGAGAUCUGAAGGAAUACCGGUGGCGAAGGCGGCCCCCUGGACAGAUACUGACACUCAGAUGCGAAAGCGUGGGGAGCAAACAGGAUUAGAUACCCUGGUAG
rnacentral:rRNA from 1 species